AACUAGUAUAUUCAAUACCUAUUCUAACAUGAUCGUCCGUCUUAUUCGAAAUUUUUUUAUAAUUAGUAUUUUUAUUUUUAUUACAUUAUAAAACAUGAAUAUUACUUUACGCGUGACUUACUUUUUUAGUUUUUUUCAAAAAAAUUAAAUAAGACAGAAGAUUAAAGUUAGACACAAAAACUCAUGACUGUGCUUAUU
rnacentral:pre_miRNA from 1 species